UUUUUUUAAUAAAUAAUAUAUAUUUUUUAGAACGAUACAGAGAAGAUUAGCAUGGUCCUAUACAAGGAUGACAUGUAAAUAUUUAAGCUUUGUCGUUGU
rnacentral:snRNA from 1 species